rnacentral:rRNA from 1 species
UGCAAGUCGAGCGCACCUUCGGGUGAGCGGCGGACGGGUUAGUAACGCGUGGGAACAUACCCUUCUCUAAGGAAUAGCCACUGGAAACGGUGAGUAAUACCUUAUACGCCCUUCGGGGGAAAGAUUUAUCGGAGAUGGAUUGGCCCGCGUUAGAUUAGAUAGUUGGUGGGGUAAUGGCCUACCAAGUCUACGAUCUAUAGCUGGUUUUAGAGGAUGAUCAGCAACACUGGGACUGAGAUACGGCCCAGACUCCUACGGGAGGCAGCAGUGGGGAAUCUUAGACAAUGGGCGCAAGCCUGAUCUAGCCAUGCCGCGUGAGUGAUGAAGGCCUUAGGGUCGUAAAGCUCUUUCGCCAGGGAUGAUAAUGACAGUACCUGGUAAAGAAACCCCGGCUAACUCCGUGCCAGCAGCCGCGGUAAUACG